rfam:Magnaporthe oryzae 70-15 chromosome 3, whole genome shotgun sequence.
GGUCGGAUGGUUUAGUUGGUCAUAAUGUGUGCUUCACAGUUCGAGGUAACUCGUCCCACUGUUCGCACAAGGUCCCGGGUUCGAACCCCGGUCUGAUCA